UUGAAGCACUGCAAAUCGUCAAGGACUCUGGCCUCUCUCAUCAUGUGGAUUUUCUUCAACUCAAUGUCAUCGACGCUGCAAGCAUCGCUGCUGCUGUCCAAUUCCUCACUACAAAAUAUGGGAGGCUUGACAUUCUGCUUUUGAAAGGCCCGAGGCACCAAAAUAUUCCAUGGUUCAAAA